CAGGGUUUGGCUGGCAUUCCAAAGUUUAUUUGAGUUAAUCUCCAUUCUCAUUGGCCUGCAAAGCUCAGUGAGAACUGGUUUUUCUGGGAGCACUUUCAUUGUUUCCUGAUUAGACUGGUAUCAGAAAUGCCAGAAAGAAAAAGAGAUUGAGAGACAGAAUUUUAUAGAAUGAUUUUUUAAGGUUAAAGGGCUUUUCUGGACUUUCAAGGACAUCAGGCUUAAGCUGUGCCCGAUGCGAAGAUUGUGUGUGGUCACUGAAGUUGGAAAUGCCACCAAGACUGCACAUGUUUGCAGCUGGCCCCCUACCGCUUGUUCAUUCUAGGGACCUCCCUGCUGUCUGGUUCUCAUCUGAUCCUUCCUCAGGCCACCAACCUUGUGAUAUAUCACAGAGUUUUGUGUCAUCACUGUCCUCUAUAGCUUCCUCUGCUUGCUGCAGCGGCAGACCCACAUUCUGUGACUGCAUCAGGAUGCACCAGUGUGACAUCAACUUCACUGGCUUUCUGUGUCCUCACCUCCGAAUUUGCACAGCCUGCAUCCAUCCUCCCACUCAUUCCUGGGAACAAAAUCAAAGUUUGUUCUGCUCCUUGAAACUUAACUUUGAUCCUUCUGAGAGGAAAGAAAUUGUAUGCUGCGAGGAAGUUCUUAUUCUUUGCCCAACAGAGAACACCUGUAAGGAAGAAAGAUGUGGGAGUAGAAACAAAAGGAGUUUGAAGACAAUGGAUCAAGAGGUCAAGCUCAUUUCUAGGUCUUGA
rnacentral:lncRNA from 1 species